GCAUCUUUGGUCCAGCGGUAGGAUAAUCGCCUUCCACGUCAACCAGUUUAUCUCUGGUUGUCCGUUAGCGAUUGGCUCGGGUUCGAUUCCCGGAAGAUGCA
rfam:Paraphaeosphaeria sporulosa strain AP3s5-JAC2a unplaced genomic scaffold CC84scaffold_8, whole genome shotgun sequence.